rnacentral:sRNA from 1 species
UGGUAGAUGCACCCUGAUGGAAACCCUGGAACUUGCUGGAGUUCCGGGGCUUUUUUUU